rnacentral:rRNA from 1 species
CCUACGGGCGACAGCAGUGAGGAAUAUUGGUCAAUGGACGCAAGUCUGAACCAGCCAUGCAGCGUGCAGGAAGACGGCUCUAUGAGUUGUAAACUGCUUUUGUACGAGGGUAAACGCAGAUACGUGUAUCUGUCUGAAAGUAUCGUACGAAUAAGGAUCGGCUAACUCCGUGCCAGCAGCCGCGGUAAUACGGAGGAUUCAAGCGUUAUCCGGAUUUAUUGGGUUUAAAGGGUGCGUAGGCGGUCGGUUAAGUUAGAGGUGAAAUCCCGAGGCUCAACCCCGGCCCGCCGUUGAAACUGGCAGUCUCGAGUUGGAUGGAAGUAUGCGGAAUGCGCGGUGUAGCGGUGAAAUGCAUAGAUAUCGCGCAGAACUCCGAUUGCGAAGGCAGCAUGCCGGCGCCACACUGACGCUGAGGCACGAAAGUGUGGGUAUCGAACAGGAUUAGAUACCCGGGUAGUC